GACGCCACAGCACUCACUCUAGCCUGGGCAACAACGUGAGACUCUGUCUCAAAAAAAAAAAAAGUGAUGAGGGGAAGCAAUGGUUUUCCUCAGUUUACCCUUGAGCAGAUGCCCAUCCCCCUACCCCACAGCCUUGGGUUCAGGGGAACUGAGAGCACCACGCAGGACCUUGAGGAAGAGGAGGGGAGAGGCGGGCUGUGAGGAGGAGGCUGGAAUCCGUGCAGAAUGAGAGCACACACUGCAUGGUGUCGGGCCGUGUGGAUCAGGAGGGGCGGCAAUGCUGUGCGUUUGCUGUGUCAAGUUUUCUCUCUUCAUUUCUCUGUCCCUGAGCUGCAGGAGGCUCAGAAAAGCAAAGGUACCAGUUGUUAGGAAAAAUAAAGACAUUCUGUGUUUGUAAAUGUUCUGAGUUGAAUCUGUGUCCAAACCUGCUUAUUAUAGUGUGAAAGCUCUGGGUGUCUGGCUUGCUCAGAGUUGAUAUUGAGCAAUCAUCAGUUCCAUUCCUCUCAUGUCCCUUCUCUCUCUCAAGUUAUAUAUAUAUAUGUCUACAGUGUGUGUGUGUAUAUUCAUAUGCAUAUACUGUGACAUAUGAUACGUAGUAGCAACUUGGGUUUUCAACUGUGUGCCUGUGCCUCUGUCCAUAUGCCAACAGUACUGGCCUCCCUUGGGAGUAACUGGUUAACUGGAAAUGUGGGUGGGGGCGUUGGAGGGGGCACUUCUGGUGACCACAAGGACUGGGGGUGCUACUGGCAUUGUCAGGGAUGCUAAAAAGCCAGCAGAGUGUAGGACAGUCCCCUUACCCCACCAGCAGAGAAUUGUCUUGCCCCAAACGCUAGUAGCAUCUCCAUUGAGAAACACUGUACAUUUACAGUGUGGAAUAUUCCUCAGCAACUUUGUGAAUUAGAGACUGUAAUUCUUUCAUAAAAGGAUAAUAAUGUUUCAGAGGAAGUUAGGGAGCCUGUGCCCUGACUAAUGGGAUCAUUUGGUGAAAACGUAGACCGUGUCUUGAUCCCGCCGUGAGAUUCUAGUUAUGUUAAGUUUGAGCACAUAUGUUAACAUUUCUUCAGGUUUUAGAACACUGCUGUCAUUGUUCUCGUUCUGUUUGCAUGGAUGAAAUAAGGGCUGUUGCUAUGUGAAUGUUUCUCCCCAGACAUUCUUUCGUAGGGAAGCUAUUAGAUAAAAAUGGGGUUGUCUUUGUGGGCAAGACAUUUUGCCAGAAAAAAAUAAUCUUAGCGCCACUGCGCACACACACUGAGACCGCACACACAGAGACACUUUGGAGGGCUCUUUUGAUAUUACACAGGGAAACCAACAGUGCCAAUAAUAGCAUGGGGCUGUGUCUCUCGCAGUGCUUUUGAAGGCAUAGAAAGCAAAUGACGAUGCUAGCGGUAGCUAAGAUGUAUCUUGUAGGGGCUGGAGAGAAACUGGCAUUCUUAGGAGUCCAGCAAAUUGUCUUUGAGCCUGUGAAGGCACACAGAAAGCUAAUGACACCUCUGAGGAAUAGCCUUCUCAGGUUUUAGAUGCCACAGAUGCUAAAGCCGGGAUGUAAACCCUUUCUUACAGGGCCUUUAAGAAUCCUCCGUGUGCGUUUAUUAGCAGGCUGAGUGUGUAUAUGGAAAUGUUAAUGGUCUGUGGAGCAAGCUCAGCUUGUUUUUGCAAUCCACAGGACUAUAAAAGUUAUCAGAAAGGACACACAUUCUCGCUCCUCCCUUUGUUCCUUUGUUUCCUAUCUUUUCCUUCUCCCCGGAGUAACAGGGCACCUAUAGAGUGCCAGUUCCUGCGCCUACAAAGGUGAGUGUGAGGUGGAUUCUCCCCUCUGGAAGCUUGCCCUCCAGUGUGGGAGGACCUUGCGUUCCUGUCCACAGUGCAAGGUAGAAGGCGAGGACGGCGAUGCAAAUAAGGCACAAAUUACAUGGAAAUUUAGCCGCAGAAGAAAUUACUUCUGGCUGAUAGGAUCAAAGAAAAGCUACACAGAGGAAAGAGUGGAAAUGGUAUUUAACUGUUUUCAAGACCAUGUAGGAUUUGGGCAGGUAGCAAUUAGCUUUGCAGGGAGCAAGAAGACAUAUUGUAGGGGAGGGCAGGCCACUCAGGGAACAGCAUCCGCAAAGGUUACAGCAUGGGUGGCGUGAGGCGGGACAGCUAAGGGUAGCCGUUUCCUGGUGUAAACGCCUGACCAUUCAGAGAGCGAACCUGGAGUCCCUGGUCAUUCAUUAAUGGCUUGGAAUUCUAGUCCCCAUGCUUUGAUGGGCCACAGAAAUUCCUACGGAGCUUGUUAGAAAUUGCAAUGCCAGGGAGCCCCUUUGUACCCUGGGAUUUAGAAGAUCCCAGGCACCCUGCUGUCCCUCACUGCCUGUGGCCAGCGUCCACCCAGUGGCCAGCCACUGGGGACUCUGUCGCUGCAUGUUCCUGGGCUGGGACACAGUGCCGGCAUGCCUGGAACAAACAGGAAGGAGACAGAGAUCACUUUCCUAAGAAGUAUAAUCCCCACAUCUCCUCUUAAGCCACAACAAUAACAUCUCCUGUUUUAUUUAAUUUUCUCUUAUGGAAAAAACCGGUUAUGCUAAACAAAAGCAAAUGACUGGUGAAGAAGCUCUGAGUGAUGUUUAUAAGCCUUUUAUAUGAUUUUUUUAUUGCAUUUUUUGGUCUCCUAAUUGAUUAAUAAAGGGAAAGACAGGAAGACUGACAUGAAUUAUCUUCUACCAAGGUUCAGAUAGAGUGAAAUGGCUCCCACCUUGCCAGUAAAAUUCUCUCCAGGUCGACUGACGUGAGCCACACGUACAUUAAAAAUGACGAUGGGUCCACAGUGGUCCUGAACGUUCUGUAAACAGGGAAUGUCACCCAAGGAAGUGAAGUCUUCUCCUUCACAAAACACAGACAUCAAAUCCUCGCUCUGCUGCAGCCCUGCCAGGCCACCCUCUGACGUUUUUGUCAUUGGAUUCUCGAUAGCAUCUUUGGGCCUAUUUGAGCGUCCCCUCCCCAAGCCUGGGGUCUGUCUAUAGCAGUGUCUUAGUCAGUUCGGCUGCUGGUAGCAGAAUACCAUAGACUGGGUGGCUUACACAGCAGAAAUUUAGUUUCCCACAGUUCUGGAGGCUUGAAAGUCCAAGAUCAAGGCCCUGGCGGAUUCGGUGUCUGGUGAGGGCUCACUUCGUGGUUGAGAGGUGGCCACCUUCCCACUGAGCAGAGGAAGAGGGAGCAGCCAGUCCUCUUAAAAGGACGCGAAUUCCAUUUAUGGGGGCUUCACCCCCACGACCUGACCCUAGGCCCCACCUCCUGGUUCUAUCAUGUUAGGGAUUUAGGCUUUAGCCUGUGAAUUUGGGGGGACACAAACAUUUGGUCCAUAGAAAGUGGCAUGUUGUAUAACCCACCCAAGUAUGAAGAGCAUUCUGCCAACCAGUGAGCCCCAGAGUUAUUCCUGAAACAUUAAGAGCUACUUUCCAAUAGCUUGGCUUAGAAAUGUGGAUGUACUUCCCGAUAUGUUUAAAAGCCUAACGACAAUCUUGUGUGAUGUGUAUUAGUAAUGAGAUACUAAUUACCAUUUACCAAACGCCUACUGUAUGCCGAUACUAUGCUGGGUUCAGAAGGGUUAAAGAAUUUACCCGAAGUCAUAAAGUAGAUAGUAAAGUAGAUAGUUAAAGAGUGAGUACACAAAGAUAUGUCUUUGCCUUUCAGUCUGGAUGGAUCCCACAUUUUAGGGGAAUAAGGCCUGGGCCAUUUGCAUGUUGCCACUUGGGCUAGGAGGCUGGAUGCCUCUACAGGAGGCCUGGUCUCAUGGAAACUGUACCAUCUGUUAACAGGCGCCGUAUAGGGUCUUGCCUUGGAGCUGAGUCCUGCAAGUGCCUUUUAAAGGCCUGGAACUAUCCAAAAUCUCAGGGAAGGGAAGCCACGCUGGGUGUGGAUACUCUGAGGAUGCCCGUGGUCCCUGGAUCCAUUGGCAGCAGGAUGUACCUUUUGAACCGUGUUUUUCCACGGGCUGUGGGGUGGUGAUGGGGGUGGUUGGAGAGGGCACUGGUGGCGGGGAGGGGAUUGCGGUUGGUGGAGCAGUAGCUCACUGUGCUGAGUGCUGUGCGUUCCAGCUCACUGAAUCCUCGAGGCCCCUCUAUGAGACUCGUAUUACUGACUCAUGUUAGAAAGAGGACAGUCCACGGGACACCCAGGCUCCCCAGCCAGGGACACCCUGCUUGGCUCCUGCCUCAGCGCUUCAGUGACGAGGCCCUGCCCAUGGGCACGGAUAGAUCUUAGGCCUCUCCCCUUCAGACGUUCCAGGAGAGAUGUUUUAGAAACAGUGCAUACUAGGUUCCAACCUGGGCUUCGUUGGAAGAGGCCUGCCAGUUCCAUUCUCCCCAAAGUGAUUUCUUUCGAGAUCAUACAUUAGACAGGAAGAAGUAAUUUCGGCUGGGCCUGGUGGCUCAUGCCUGUAAUCCUAGCACUAUGGGAGGCCAAGGUGGGUGGACUGCUGAAGGUCAGGAGUUCGAAACCAGCCUGAGCAAGAGCGAGACCCUGUCUCUACUUUACCACUUUACUUUACUCACUUUACCACUUUACCCAAUAACCGUGAGGCCCUUCAGGCCUGGACCUACGUAAGGCAGAGUUUCAGCACCCUUGUUAGGUUCCAUGAGAAGAGGGAUGCAAAGUACUAUGCAUGUGGCCUGGCACACGGUAAAUGCUCGAGAAACGGUUCCGACUGUCAUGACUGUGAUUCUUUGUGGCCGAACCUUAGCAGGCUGCCUCUCCUGACCCUUCCAUCCACCUCUCAGGUCCUGUGUUUAAGCGACUUCUGUAUUGAGAAAUUAUAAAAUGCCUUUCCCAUGUCACCUGGCUUCCCAAGUUCUCUUCCACUGUCUCUACCUUUCUGCUGUUCCAGUAGAUGUGAAUUCGCAGAAUUCUACGUACAGGCCAGACGCUAUUACCACGUAAGAAAACAAGAAAAAGGAUGGCUGUCCACACCUGGUGUUUCCCAGUUGGAAACACAAUCCAGCACUUUACGUCCUUGGUGCUGAGUGCAUGGGAGUCAGCAGACAGACGCAGGCGCAUUCUUUUCUUGCCCCAUGAGUUGGGGCAGAGUGGGAGUUUUAUAUCUAUCUGUGCCUGUUGCUCUCAAAUGCGGUGACGGUAGGACACACCCAUGUCUGCCCCCCACAAUACGGCACUGUCAGCGCCGGCUCUUGCUCGAGGGCCCCUUUGGUGAAGACGUUCGUCCUCUUGCACAGGUUCUGGUCUAAGUUUGCCUGUGGCCUGUUGUCAUUCCGUGGACAGCAGACCAGGCGUGGCUUCACACCCCAUGUCAGUGCCAUGUUCAAGAGGGCGAUCUUCUCCUACGGCUGAACAGAGCAACUGGACUGCGUGUUCGGUUGAAAUACGUCUGUGAUAAACUCCACUUUCAUUCUUUGUCUUAAAAAUGCCAUUACAUUUUUUUGUGCAUGUGUAUUGAAAUACUGUUUUUCAGGCUGUGUUCUGACUGCAGCGUGGGCUUUCUGAGGAAUCCAUCCCAAAGAACUCUCGCUCCGGAGUAUUCUGUAUUCUAGGUAGGCUGCGAGAAUUAGAGCUGUUGCCAAGGGAACCGGCUGCGGAACUUAAAUGUAUAAUCUCACAAUUACAUCUAAAUUUCGUGUAACAUCUGACCUUAGCUUUGCUUUAAGGUGAAGAGGAAAAUGGAGUAAGAAUUAUACGAGUCAAAGAUUAAUGAAAUAUGCGCCAUCCUUUUAGGACUCGACACUUUACCAUCAGUGUUUAUACUUCGCUCUUCUUGUACACGGUUCUCUUUCUCUGGAGUCCUAGGGGUGGAGAGCACCUUUUCUCUCAGAUGUCAGUAAUGCACAGGAAAAACGAAUCAGGGUCUGCUAAA